GUGGGGAAUCUUCCGCAAUGGACGAAAGUCUGACGGAGCAACGCCGCGUGAGUGAAGAAGGUUUUCGGAUCGUAAAGCUCUUUCGUUAGGGACGAACGUGCUCUUUGUGAAUAAUGAGGAGUAAUGACGGUACCUAAAUAAGAAGCCACGGCUAACUACGUGCCAGCAGCCGCGGUAAUACGUAGGUGGCAAGCGUUGUCCGGAAUUAUUGGGCGUAAAGCGCGCGCAGGCGGGAUAUCAAGUCUGUCUUAAAAGUGCGAGGCUCAACCUCGUGAGGGGACAGAAACUGGUAUUCUUGAGUGUCGGAGAGGAAAGUGGAAUUCCAAGUGUAGCGGUGAAAUGCGUAGAGAUUUGGAAGAACACCAGUGGCGAAGGCGACUUUCUGGACGAUGUCUGACGCUGGGGCGCGAAAGCUAGGGGAGCGAACGGGAUUAGAUACCCUAGUAGUCC
rnacentral:rRNA from 1 species